GCAGUUUGCAAGCAGGACAAGCCUUGGUUUCUGGGGAUGCUUCAGAUAACAUAGGUUCUAUCCUGGGAGCACUUGAACAAGCUAAAUUUUCUAUUAGCCAACAGAUCAACGUCUCGCCAGUAGAAGGCCGAUCGUCCAUAGAACAUUCUAUUCCUACUGCUAAAAUUGAGGACAGAUUAGACAUUCCUCCUGGAUUCCCUGGCCUUUUUAGACUACCAACAGAUUUUCAACUUGAAGCAACUACAACAGCCAGCUACCAAGGUUUUCCGUCAAGGUUCAGUUCAGCGAAUCAUUUUCAUGAACCUGGCUAUAAUCAAUUCUCAGCUACCCCUUACAUGGAGUCUCCAUCAAAUGCUAUUACAGGUCUACCAUAUACCACUGGAUUCGACUACCUUAAUCCUCCCUCGAGCUUUGGUCAUCCAUUUUCUAGUAAAUCAACCUACCCCACAUAUCCUUUCCGUCCCAAUACAACAACUACUGUGUCUCAAUCCCAAGCAAGUUGGAGUCCGCUAUAUGAAUCCUCACUAACCAAAUCAAGCCCUGUUGUAGUGCCAAACUUGUCCUCAGGCGAAGACGUAUUCUUAAGAUCCCUUCCAAGGAAUGAGACAGGUAAACCUCCAUCAUUUCCUGUCUCACAUUAUGAUGCUCAUAUGAGACCAAACAUGUAUAGAUAGCUGGCAUUGCUCACAGCACUACAUUUCAUUAAGAGAUAGACUCUACUUUCUUCAUCCAAUAUGGUUUCUUGAGACCAGUAUGAGUGGUGUAGCUAUGUAUCUAGAUAUUUGAGUCUUAUUGUAUUAGAUGUGUAUUUUGUAAAGUCUUCUGGAAUCAAUAAACUGUCAG
rnacentral:misc_RNA from 1 species